ensembl:lncRNA
UAGUUCGGUAGCCGGGUGGGAGGGAACCGAGUUUGUGCCGCUCCGCCAAUAGGGGGAAGAGGGUGUGUCACAUGCAAAUAACCCCGUGAAACCCAGCCCCUCCCCUAAGGCCAGACACAGCCCCUGCGCUAGGUCCCUGCAGAAAUGGGGAGGGGAUGAGAUAAAUAGCUGGGAGCUAGAGUUCGCUAGAGGGUCUAAGACUCAACUAAAUGUUUCCCGAUUUCUUGAGAAAGACGGUGGGGGUGGGGGGAGCUAAAACGUUCAUACCGAUCCACCAGGGCAGUGGUUAGGCUUUCUCUUUCUUACCCAGAAUCUUAGCUGGAAAGAAGACUGCAGUCCUGUAGCAGUUGACAGCCAAGGAUCGCAAAGAACUUUAUGCAUCGCUUAUCCUUGUUUUGCAAAAGACCAGUUACCUAAAGCUUCGGCAGCGGGUGGGGGAUAGAUGUCUAAGUACAUUUACACCAUUAGUCGGUUAGAGGGAAACAAAAGACUCAAAACCUGUGGGUUAGCGGUUUCCUCCUCCAUCUAAAGCCCCUUCUCGUCGUAGACUCUCAGCAACGAAAAUUCUUUUAUUUGUCCAGCUCGACAAGGCCAAAGAGACAGGUUUGUCUUCCACCCCAAAGUCCUUCUGGGGCGGCUGGUUAGAUAAACGCAGAGCUCGGAGCCCUGCCUGGGAACGAAGCUUCAGAGAACAAAUUGCCAUUUAAAGCUCUUGGGCUAGACCUGCCUCUUGCAAAGCUACAAAUGAAUUCAGGAUUUUGGUGUUCACGUUCUGGGGAGAGAAAGCAGAUGUAACUGGGGGAAACUCAGGCUGGCAGGGUGUGGGGGGGACGGACAAGUGGGAGAGUAAGGUCUCCGGAGGGGCUAGCCGCGCUCAUGCUGGUUGAAGGCGGGUUCCGACGUGAGACACCCCGAAACCUGCUCCCCUGUGAGAACAAAGGCAGGUGCCGAGCGAGAGCCUGGUUGGUGCCGGACGCUCCCCGGCGUACUCCGGGCCCCAGAGAUUGCUCUGCCCACUGGAGCCGAGUUCCGUGCACACUGGAACCCCAGCUCCCCACCCAGCCCUGGCUGAAACCACAUAAGACUGUGCGUUAUGACAUCACCUGUUUUCGGGCUGGAGAACGCGAUCAGUAUUCUCGGCUUCUGCUUUUCUUAAAGGUCGCUAGCGUACGAGGAUCCGUGAAGGCCUGCAGUUGGCAGAAUGAAUCUGUGGAGAUGAUUUACACGAAUGAUUUCACUGGGCCUAAGACCAGUCAGUACUACUCCGAAGGAGGAAUUAAGAAGAUGUGAUCCAAAAGGGGCUCUGCUUGAGCGCCGCUUCCCCUUCCACCCUCUCCAUCGCCCACCUCCACCAGGAAAAUUAUUCUUACCGAAGCUCAUUUUCCAAGGAACAAAUAUUCCAGCAAGAUCCUGAUUUCUGCCAGCUUUCUCUUCUAACUUCCCCUUCCAGAGUUUCCUGCAUUAAACCCUGUAGAAAGCAGAUUGCAAAGGAGAGGCCUACAGAUCUGGGUUUAUCAUUGUUUGGCCUGCAAAUGUUAGCCAGCACAGUUCUUUUUAACAUUGAAUUACUUAAAAACACUUGAUGUAGGAGAUUUUUGCCGCCACCCGCACCCCCACCCACCAACAAGUCUAGAUUUCUGGUGUCUCUUGAAAAUGGUUAGAUCUGGUUACACUGGAUGUGUACUGGUAUAUGGCCACCAUCUGCUGGAACCCAGCACCUGUUAUCUGCAUUUGGACAUGCAUUUUCAGGUUUACCAACGUCUCUGUCACUCUUCUGGGGUUCCAUUUUGCCACUUUAUACACAUUGUCUUCUUGACCUUUGUAAGGAUUUGCCAUCUCAGAACUUUCUCCGGCACUCAAAUUACUGAUCUACUGACUGAUCCUCUUAAUCAUAGAACAUGAGUUAAAAAGAAACAUGUCAUCUCUUGGCUAUAGCAGAAGUUGAGGAAAAGGAUCCAAUGUAAAGAAUAUCAUGAUAUGCAGUUGCCUGGGUGAUAGUACAUAAGGGAUGGAUUGCAAAGUGGCCUGAGGAAUCUUUUGCUGGUUGUGGAAAUGAUAUGUAUCUUGAUUGUGCUAAUACUUUCAUGGGUGUACAUAACUGUCAAAAUGCAAUAAACUGUACAGUUUUAUUAUGCA